rnacentral:rRNA from 1 species
AUUGAACGCUGGCGGCAUGCUUUACACAUGCAAGUCGAACGGCAGCGCGGGCUUCGGCCUGGCUGCGAGUGGCGAACGGGUGAGUAAUGCAUCGGAACGUGCCCAGCAGUGGGGGAUAGCCCGGCGAAAGCCGGAUUAAUACCGCAUACGACCUGAGGGUGAAAGCGGGGGACCGAAAGGCCUUGCGCUAUUGGAGCGGCCGAUGUCGGAUUAGCUAGUUGGUGGGGUAAAGGCUUACCAAGGCGACGAUCCGUAGCUGGUCUGAGAGGACGACCAGCCACACUGGAACUGAGACACGGCCCAGACUCCUACGGGAGGCAGCAGUGGGGAAUUUUGGACAAUGGGGGCAACCCUGAUCCAGCCAUGCCGCGUGCGUGAAGAAGGCCUUCGGGUUGUAAAGCGCUUUUGUUCGGGAAGAAAACCUCUGGGCUAAUACCCCGGGGGGAUGACGGUACCGGAAGAAUAAGCACCGGCUAACUACGUG